UCUUGAUCCAAGGGGCGAGAAAGCCCCUGCGGACGGCCCUAACCCAGCCGGCGCCCGCCGGCGCCGUGGAGCAGCGGUGCCGGAAGAGGGGCGGAGGUGUUCCUCGGCACCACUAUCGGCAGCUCUGCGGCGGCACCGCCGGCUUAAGCUCCAGGUUGCUGAUGCGCCAUGCCGGUAGCUAUUCCUUAGUUCGAUCAUCCGUUUCGCCGGUUGAAUACAGAUGUAGAAGGUCCAAAAUUCUCAGGGGUGAUCAUGGAGGUCCAGCCUGUUUCCCCAUUUCUAGUGCUCUGACGGAAUCGCGCUUAUUUCCUCCAGCAAUGGUCGGCAGUUCCGGUGUUGCAGUUCUGAAAAGUUAGUCUGAGAAGCAGGUGUAUGCUACUGGAUGAGGCAUGGAGGUGUACAAUCAUCUUAACUCCUGGUAUGAAUAUGAUACAAAAUCCAGGCCUUAGCUGUACAAUGCGGACAUCAAAGAGACAAUGACUGGUAUUAGUAACUAAAGGAAAAGGAUUUAUCUUAUCUGGAGGAGUGGACUGGCAGUAUGCAAAGGAGCUAAAAUAUUCAGCUUUGGCUUUUAAGGUGAGUGGGAGCAAUUGCACAAGCAGUUGCAUGUCACUUUCCCUCCUUUUGGCCAUGCCUGCCUCCACUUUUUUGCAUCGCUUUCUUGGUCCAAUUAUCCCAAAACCAAAAGGGCAAAAAAGGAACAGGGAAAAGGAAAUUGCAAAAAGGACUGAUGCCCAGAACACAACAAAGAAAUCGGAUACUGUUUUUCAUGCUCCCUGCCUAUCCUGAAAUAAAAUACAUAAGUAUAAGGUAUACUUUUAGAAUAUAUCCUGAAUCUAGUGGACUACCAAAGAAAAAAAAGAAAAUUUUCGUUCAAGACCUCGUUAACAAGCUACUGAAGAAUAAAAUACCUCAAGCAAUAUAUUCCUUCUUUAUAUUAAUUAUUUAUUAUCUACAACCAGGGACCACAUUGAUCUCCUGGUCUUUCUCCAACCCAAAUAGCUAAUUCUAUGUACAUGCGGCCACUACCUAUUACAAGUCCAGAAGUAGCUAUUUUUACACAUACACUCUGUUUCCCUUCC